UACGGGGGGGGGCAAGCGUUGUUCGGAAUUACUGGGCGUAAAGGGCUCGUAGGUGGCCAACUAAGUCAGACGUGAAAUCCCUCAGCUUAACUGGGGAACUGCGUCUGAUACUGGAUGGCUUGAGUUUGGGAGAGGGACGCGGAAUUCCAGGUGUAGCGGUGAAAUGCGUAGAUAUCUGGAGGAACACCGGUGGCGAAGGCGGCGUCCUGGACCAACACUGACACUGAUGAGCGAAAGCCAGGGGGAGCAAACGGG
rnacentral:rRNA from 1 species